UAUUAACAUACGAUUGCAAUUUCGUAUUGAUAUAAUAAUUUUAUAAAUGUAAUGAUAACCUCUAUGAUCACAUUUACUUUACACUCAGUAAAAUUACAAGAAUUUUACAAAAAUUGAUAUUUUGUACAAAAUUACUGGUACCAUUCAAUGACCACAAGUGGCCGCUUCAAUCUUUUUAAUGUUUAUAUAUAUGACAUACAUAUGUACAUAUACAUUGUAAUGAAUUUAAUAUAAAAAUCGCGUAUAAAAUUAAAA